rnacentral:rRNA from 1 species
GUGCGGAGCCGUAGCGAAAGCGAGUUUUAACUGAGCGUUCAGUUACUUGACGUAGACCCGAAACCGGGCGACCUACCCAUGAGCAGGAUGAAGCGAAAGUAAAAUUUCGUGGAGGUCCGAACCCACGGGCGUUGAAAAGCUCGGGGAUGACUUGUGGGUAGCGGUGAAAUUCCAAUCGAGCCCGGAGAUAGCUGGUUCUCCCCGAAAUAGCUUUAGGGCUAGCCUCAAGGUGAGAGAUACGGAGGUAGAGCACUGAAUGUCCUAGGGGGUAUUGCACCUACCGAAGACUAUCAAACUCCGAAU